UGCGGAAUUCGCCAUGCCUAUAUGACAAGAGUCAUGCCGAUUACAAAAAUCAAGAGAAAAAAGGCGUUCUUGGAAGGAAGUCGCCGAUAAUUUGGAAGUUGAUGAAAGUGUUGUUAUGAAGCGUUGGGGCAACUUGAGAGAACGCUUCUCAAAAGAAAUUAGAAUCUCACAAAAUGAUUCAGGAAGUGGUGCAUUCGUAGGAAGGCAGUGGGCGCUAUUUGAAAGUUUGCAAUUUUUAAGAAGUCACAUUAUUCCUCGUCCUGCGCCAAUAUUGAAACGCAGCGACGAGAACUAUGACUUUAUUAACAUUUCGUCCGAAUCUAUAUCACAAGAUCUCUCGCCGUCACCUCCAAUUUCCCCUGGGCAGUUAAUUCCGUCCGACCAAUCAACAAUAAUUCUGUCCGAUCAAACAACAGCAAUUCCGUCCGAUCAGUCAAUUCCGUCUAGUCAGCCAUCAGCAAAUCCGUCAUCAACAUCGCGACCACGAAAGCAAAGAGGCAGACAGCUUGACGAGGUGGACACUGCCAUCCUCGGAACAGUGAAAACUUUCCAGGAGGUAUGUGAGCGUAGAGCGCGUCGAGAAGAGUUUGAUGCGGAGAUAAGCGGCUUUGGGCACCAUGAUAUG